rnacentral:rRNA from 1 species
UCUACGGGUGGCUGUAGUGAGGAAUAUUGGUCAAUGGGCGGAAGCCUGAACCAGCCAAGUCGCGUGAGGGAUUAAGGCCCUGCGGGUCGUAAACCCCUUUUGCCGGGGAGCAGUGGUCCGGACGCGUCCGGACCGGGAGUGUACCCGGAGAAACAGCAUCCGCUAACUCCGUGCCAGCAGCCGCGGUAAGACGGGGGAUGGGAGCGUUCUCCGGAUUUAUUGGGUUUAAAGGGUGCGUAGGCUGGCAUUUAAGCAGGCGGUCAAAUGUCGGGGCUCAACCCCGGCCUGCCGUGGGCACUGGGUGCCUUGAGUUGGCGAGAGGUAUGCGGAAUGCGUGGUGUAGCGGUGAAAUGCAUAGAUAUCACGCAGAACCCCGAUGGCGAAGGCAGCAUACCGGCGCCCUACUGACGCUGAGGCACGAAAGUGCGGGUAUCGAACAGGAUUAGAUACCCUAGUAGUC